UACGUAGGGUCCGAGCGUUGUCCGGAAUUAUUGGGCGUAAAGGGCUCGUAGGCGGUUUGUCACGUCGGGAGUGAAAACUUGGGGCUUAACCCCCAUUCGUGCUUCCGAUACGGGCAGACUAGAGGCAGGCAGGGGAGAACGGAAUUCCUGGUGUAGCGGUGGAAUGCGCAGACAUCAGGAGGAACACCGGUGGCGAAGGCGGGUUCUCUGGGGCCUGUUCUGACGCUGAGAGCGAAAGCAUGGGGGAGGCGAAACAGGGGA
rnacentral:rRNA from 1 species